UGUGUUAGACACACUUGAGCUUGGAUUGCCAUCAAGAUCUUGCAGAUGUUCUUAGCGGGGAUCAUUCAUACACUACAAAUAUGUGCAACUUUUUCAGGUCUGAAUUAACAGUUCAUUUACUACAGCCCAUGGCCCACAGGGGGGUGGUAGGUAACGCUGUAUUUCUUUCCAACUCCAGCAUCUGUGUUGCGGGUGUACGCAGGUCUGUUCGGGUAGCAUUUGCAUAUCGUGGCACGUUCCAACGGGGGAAGAGGCAGCCUCCUAGGUGUUGCGUAAUGGAUGGAUGACGUAUUUAGCUGACCCCAGCUUUUAAAAGUUGUGAGGGGCAGUUGCUCGAGUUGAAACGAGCGUUUGUGUAACGGUCGGUCUGCAUUCUGUACAUCAGGAAGAAGACAGAAGUCCGUACAUACCUGAGGUGUUUGGAGAUGUUGGGACGGCCCAUAGAGCGCAGUGGGCAACUUCUGGAACACAGAUAAUUUUCCGAGCCGAUGACGUCAUCGCCAGCUUAUCAAUCUUCAAGAUGGCGCCUCGAGACGGUGUUGGGGUGUUUGAGAAGGGGUGUGUUUUAUCUCAACAUGGACAUGUCAUGGGGUAGAAGCUUGUUUUCAUGUUUUCCUGUCGGUUUGUCAGUUCCCAAUGUGUCUGCUAUACACGGGCAUGUAAGUUAACAAGAAAUAAGUCUAAAGUUUUCAUUAGUAUGUAACGUCCCCGUGUUUGUUUGAAAGUUGUCACGAUGGAUGGCCAGUGAUAUAAACAAAACUGGAAACAGAUAAUGAAAUAAUUAGCGUUGUGUGUAUCACUGAGUUCAACUGAGUUGUCACUAAGGUUACAGAGAUAUGGUGUGGUGCCGAAACAAGUAAAUUGUGUCUUCUUUACUUAAUUGAAAUAAGAUGAUGUUUGAAUCGACACGAAGAGUAACGUGCAAAGUUAGAUCAGUAUUUGAUGACAGUAAUGGAAUUCGUGUGAGUUAAGAUACGUUUCGUCUGUCUAAAUCCGAAUUUAUGCAGAGCUGCGACUAUGUGUUUCUGGAAAUAAAUAUAUCAAUUUCGUAA